rnacentral:rRNA from 1 species
UACGUAGGGUGCGAGCGCUAAUCGGAAUUACUGGGCGUAAAGUGUGCGCAGGUGGCCGCGCAAGUCGAGUGUGAAAUCCCCGAGCUUAACUUGGGAAUUGCGCUCGAAACUACGUGGCUCGAGUGUGGCAGAGGAAGGUGGAAUUCCACGUGUAGCGGUGAAAUGCGUAGAUAUCGGGAGGAACACCUGUGGCGAAGGCGGCCCCCUGGUUGGAUACUGACGCUGAUACGCGAAAGCGUGGGGAGCAAACAGG